AAGGUCUUAGCUUAGUUAAAGUGUAUNAGUUGCAUUCAGAAGAUGUAUAUUAGAAUUAUGCAGGCUUUC
rnacentral:tRNA from 1 species